GGCAUCUCCUCAGUACAUUGCUAAUACAAGGAUAGCAGAGCUUUUUAAUAGUCCUUUUCUUUGCAGUGUGCAUUCUUAUGAAGGUUCACAAGGAGCCGUAUGGUUAAGUGGAUAUGAGCUACAGCGUCACAUGGACUUUGGCUUCUUUAACGAUCAGGCUAAAAGCAAAUCCAUAUACUACCAUGAGCAAGACUAAAGCCAUGACCCAUUGCCACUUCGUCAAGACAUCAUCUGUUGUGGAGGCUGCUUUUGCAGUGGCUGACUGUGCUCAUGUGGUCCCUACUCUUGCCCUCCAGCCACCAGCUCUACUUUCUCCAAGAUUCCCUCACCCUCAAUAAAUUUCUUGGUGAAGCCACAAUUAAUCUCGAGGAACGCAUUAACCUUGUUCAUAUCAAAGUAACCCUGGAAGUUUUGCAGUUUCACCUGCGAUGAGCGCUGGGAACUUCACACUGGAGGUCUCUCCUUUCACCAUACACAGAAGGGAAACUGCAACAGAGAACAAAGUGAAGACAUGAGGUUCCAGAUGCGCUUGCGUUCCGGCUUUUGCUUCCCUCCACGAGUGACUGAGACAUGAAAAUUGAGAGCGAGUGAGUGUGCAUGUAAGAGAGAGAGAGAAAGAAGAAGAAGAAGAAGAAGAAGAAGAAGAAGAAGAAGAAGAAGAAGAAGAAGAAAAAGAAGAAGAAGAAGAAGAAGAGGAAGAUGUCUUACUCAACAGUGGGAGAUGUUUUUGUGCUAGAGUUUGAUUUUUGCCAACCUCAGUAGCAGACAGAAAUAGUAGUCAGGAACUAAUGCUUCUAUUUCACAGCAGGAGCUCAGCCUGCUUUUGCAGCUCAGAAGUCCUUCUCCAUUAUCACCCCUGUCGAGUGAGGAGCUGCUGUUUCUCCCACUAAUCAGCAGAGCGAUUGCCUAUCGAGGUCAGUGGUAUUGAUGGCAUCUGCUUCUACGGGGAAUUGGUGGACCAUCCGUCACUAUUAGUGCUUCCCCCAGGGCUCCCACGAUGUUACAAGGUGGCGUUACAGGUAAAAAAAAAAAAGAUUCAGAGUUGCUGGACAGGCAGGGUUGGUGCAGUGUGUGAAGGUCAAAAGAGAAUAGAACUGAGCUGUGAAUUUUCACUGCAGCUGAGAGGCAGGCCUCUGCUAAUGCAGGAAGGUCCCUAAGCAAAAGUGGUCUUUGUCCUUCAUAUUUAUUUGGUUAAAGUUGCUUCCCUCAUACAUACCCUUCAAAUGGCCCAUCUUUGAUUGGUUAAAUUAUAUAUAUGUAUUAUGUACACAAAUAAUAUAUCACACACACACACACACGCACACACACACAUGUCACGUCAGAUCAGUGAUCAAAAGUAAGCAAAGUCACUUAUGAGUCUUUGUUGAAAACCUGCCUUAGUAAUGCUCAGUCCUUGAGCACAGGACAAUCCCAAGGGUCACAGGCUGUGGGUCACAAUGACCUCUCUCCUCACAUUGCAAUUACAAGAAGUUGUUUUUGGAAAUACAUACACAUCAAAUUCCUGAUCAACUUAGAUAGAAUAACUAUUUAAACUGUGAUUUUAUGAUAAUUUGUAAUUUAACUUUAAAAUGUGUGGCUGUCAUUGAUACAUUAGGACUGUCUCCGAAUUAAAAGAGAGAGGAACUGUGAGCAUACCAGUUCAUAAUUUUCCAAGAUUAACUCUUUAGAAAUGAUUAGGGAAGGGUGGCUCCAAAACAGCAGAAACUGGCCAUCCAUUUAAUGAAGGAAACCAUGUGAUUUCAUAGCUUGCAAAGCACUGUGCAAUAAUCAAAUACACAUUUCUAUUUUGCAUUAGCACAUGCAGUUAGAAAUAUGUAUGUAUAUACAACUGUGAAAUGUUAGGACCUGGUAAGAAUUUAUCCAGUUCCAGAUAACUAACUGUCUGAAGUGAGUAUGAUCUGUCUUCCAGAAAUGGCUUUGUGAUAGUAUGAUUUAUGGUUUGAAAUAUGUAAGCCUUCAUUUUAUGAAUCACUGGAGGAAGAGUCCACACUCUGAGUAUGAUGGCAGAGGGGAGUGUGCACAGUAAAUCUUAAGAACUUGCCUUUUACCCCAUUUUCUGAAGGAGGGAGACAGAAGAGAUCCUGGAAAACACCCAUGAAAUUGAGGCAUACAUCCUAUUGGUCUACUCUUGCUUUAUUUGAAUUGGCCAUUACUAAUUAUAUAAUAAUAGGACUCAAAAUGAUAUUAUGACCUCUGUGUAUAUUGUCACAUGAACAAAUCAGAGAAGUUACAUAGUUCAUCGCCUCAAAUAUUUAUUAUUUCUUUGUGGUGAAAAAAAUCUCUAAAAUCGCCGCCUCCUCUAAUCAGUUUUACUAGUAGUAACUAGUUCCCUGGAUAGAACUUACCCUUCCUAGCUGAGCCUGUCCAUCACUGUUGGCCUCCUCUAAUUGUUGGGUCCUUUUAAACCACAUUGCCCUUUCUCAAGCCUAACAAAUCCUUAAGUUCUUUCUAUUUGCUGUAUUUCUUUGACUAUUACAUGUAACAAACUUGAUUUGUAAAAACAACAACAACGUUUUAUACUGAAGUUUCAAACAACCAGGUUAGAAGUACAAAUUCUGUCAAUAAUGUAAAUGUUUUCAAAUAUGUGGAGAGUUCUAUCAGGAAGGCAGAUUAUCUCAGACAGCUGACAGAUUUGUACAACUAUACUGUGCUGUGGAUAUCACUCUGUAUAAAUAAAACACUAAUUGGCCAGUAGCCAGACAGGAAGUAUAGGUGGGACUAGCAGAGAGGAGAGAGAAAAAGGAGAGGGAGGCAGAGAGGAGGAGACACCAGCUGCCAUUCAGGGAGCAUCACGUAGAGGCAACAGGUAAAGCCACGGAACAUGUGGCAACAUACAGAUUAACAGAAAUGGGCUUAGUAUAAGAAUAAGAGCUAGAAAAUGGUAGGCCUGAGCUAAUAGCCAAGCAGUUUAAAUAAUAUAAGAGUCUGUGUAUUUAUUUUAUAAGUGGGCCCUGGGACUGGUGGGACUUGGUGGGAGCUGGAGAGAAAUUCUCCAGCUACAUUACUGGUUUAGCAACACAACUCUUGUGUGUCCCUAUCCUUGAAAAUCACUAGAUUAGCUUAAUGAUUCGUUUCACUUAAAUUAUUUUCUUGCUAUAUUUCUUUUCCAUGAAAAAUAUGAAUUUGAUCAGUCUGAGUCUGACACUAAUUAAUUUUACCAGAAUCAUUGCUAACUAAAAUCAUGGGUAUUGAUUUUAUGACAUAUGCCAGGGAAUUCAUCAAAAUAGAAUUUGAAAGAAAAAAAAUGUCUGGGUCUUUCUAAUUGGUGGAAACCAGUGAGAAUCAAGCCCAGGGUCACAGAAGUGAAUAGAAACGAUUUGUUAGUUGUGGUGAUAUUAUAUUCCCCCAAAUAUUGUGUACCUUAAUAAACUUAUCUGGAGUCAGAGAACAGAACAGCCACUAGAUAUAGAGGCCAGAAAAUGGUGGCACACAUGCCUUUAAUUAUAGCAUUUCAGAGGCAGAGAUCCACCUGGAUCUCCGUGAGUUCAAGGCCACACUGGAAACAGCCAGACAUGGUGACUCAUGCCUUUAAUCCCAAGAAGUGAACCUUUAAUCCCAGGAAGUGAGCCUUUAAUCCCAGGAAGUGAUGACAAGAAGGAUAAAGGUAUUUAAGGUGUGAGGACCAGGAAUUAGAGCUGGUUAAGCUUUUAGGCUUCUAGCAGCAGUUCAGCUGAGAUCCAUUCUGGAUGAGGACUCAGAGGCUUCCAGUCUGAGGAAACAGGAUCAGCUGAGGAAUUGGCAAGGUGAGGUGGCUGUGGCUUGUUCUAGUUCUCUGAUCUUCGAGCAUUCACCCCAAUACCUGGCUCCAAGGUUUGAUUUUAUUAAUACGACCUGUUAAGAUUCAUGCUACUGUUAGUGUAGAUGUAAGCAGGUAUUCGCCCAGAAGGCCAUGGGAAUCAGCUUCUUAACUUCAAGUUUAAGAGCACAUUAAUGAUUUCACACAGGUGAUUAACCUCCUUAAAUUUCUGUGGAAAAAAAUACCCCAAGUUCCCUUUAUAGGCUGGAUGCUGUAGGGAAGAAAAACCCAUGGUGAGAAUUAGGAUUUUUGCGACUGGAAUAUGGAUUUCUCUCCUUUGAUCAUCUGACUUGAUUUAAUUCGACUAAAUGUCAGCUCAGAGUAUUGGAGACAUGAUAGAACACACAAGACUAACUUCUGUUGCACCCCAAACUUCUGUUCUAAUGAAUAAAACACAUAAUAUAUGGAUCUGUGACUUGAAAUGUGUAAUGCGAUUAAAUACAGGAACAGACUGGCAAGGACUGAAGUGACUUAGAUAAAUUAGUUAGGUCUAAUCCUGUGAAGAAGAGAAAUCUGGGAUGAUUAGAGAGGAAGACAGGAGGGAUAAAAUGAGUGUGUUGGAAAGAAGCCCCCCAAAAUGACAUGGGAUGAACAUAUUUGUCUCUGUAGAUCUUAUUUUCUGGUUCUAUUAGGCAACACAUGUCUUUUAGGAAAUUAUGUUUUAAUUGAGACAUCCCCGAUGGGCAUGUUGACCCAAGGUGAGUGCUUCCGAACUUGAUGUCUCUAAGGAUGUGAGUUCUUGGUGCAAACCAGAGAGAAGCUUAACAGAGUAGGUCAGCCUGACUUUUCAACCAGGAUCCUGGUCUCACAUAUGGCAAAUGAAACUUUCAGAUAUGGUGGUUGAUGCUUCUGGGGUGUUGAAGCAUUUAAUAGCCAACUGUUCUAAGGGUCUGCUUAUUUAACUCAGUCAGGCCCCAGCUGACAGUCUAGCCAAGCUACUUCUCUCCCGACCACAUAGCAUAAGACUCUAUCAUUCCCUUUUCUAAACUUCUUACAGUCAGAAAACAAGUGACAAUCCUAUCAUCACUGAAACUGUAGACAAGGUAAAAGUAAUAGCGGUAGUGGAAGACUGCACUGACCCUAGAGACACAGGCCUCCAAUGCCUAAUAUCAAUCUUCUCUAUAACCCUGGGAGACAAGCUGGCCACCAGACAGGACUGGUUUUGAGGUGAUGUUCCUGUGAGCAGUAGACACCAAUAACAUAGAUAUAUAUUCCACUAACCCUGCCUCCUUAAUCUUGCUCAACAACUUCUUACUGUCUUUUAAGGAUACUCUAACUAUGUUCCCUGGGGACUAGGAAUCUGAAAGAUAAAAAAAUUAUGUUCUGGGGAGAAACAAAGGAAGGAAGGACUUAGUUGAUGCUACACGUUGUCUCUUUGAUGAGAGGCUAAAUGCCCCGGAGAAGUCCUGUAAUUAAGAAAUCGAUUUAAGUUUAUUUUACCAGCCAGCCUCAAGCUUAGUCGACAUGUAAACUUUUCCCCCCUUCCACGGAACAUCUAUCAGUAUCUUGUUGAAAACACACACAGCUUGGAAACAUUGCUUCAGAGAGAAGAUGUAAAAGAUCGCUUUACAGGAAGCUGAGAGCAUAACCAAGCAUGACUGACAGGGAAGAGAUGGGCUUCUUGUUUAGAAGAAGGGGAAGAAGCACACUGAUUGGGAAAUAGUUCUUAUCAAAUGCUGCAAGAUUACUUUCCUCAGUCAGAACCAGGCUGAGAUUAUGAACAAGACCCUCUUGUAUGUGGACCCUGCUAAGGCCUUUUAAAAAGGUUUGCUCAGCAUCUCAGAAGAACCGCCUAAUCUCAUUAGAACCAGGAGUGCAAUUAGGUGCUUAUAAUCACCAGAUCUUUCUUAAGUUUCCUAAUCUUCAGUGCCAGAAUUUGAUGGUCAUAGGAACAGAAACAUCUCCUGGCUGCUACUGCUGUAUCAGAAAAUCAAUUCAUUCAUAUGGCCUGCAAGUGACUUUGGCUUUUAAAAUGCUUCAGGUUUAGAAUUCUAAUUUGGAAACUUGGAAAUCGUUAUACCAGGUGGUGAGGUAGGAGAUGGCUCGUCUUUAACUGCUGGGUGAACUGAUUUCCAUUCUUCCUUAUUUGGGUUUUCUAAACUCAAAUUGUGCUGUUGGGAAAUAAGUACUCAAAUUAUAUGAUUCAGACUCCUACCGACUCCAGCCUCUUGCUCUUUUCUCUUGUCUCCAUCACUCCUUACUUGUUGUUCUCUAAAAGUUGGCUCUAAGAUGAGUCCCGUGCUUGGUGUUAUCUGUGUUCCUCUGGUAGCCUCCUAGGCGCCAUUGAUCAGACGAUGUCUGGCUCUCCACAUUAUUGUGUUAAGAUCGAUAGUCAUCUUAAUGGGGAGUAGAUCAUAGGGGCACAGCCAACACUACUUCUUACUCAGCCUCUUAGUGUUAAGAUAUGAUUUAAGAAUAUUUUAAUAUCGGGGAGAAGAGCAGAUAAUGGCUGAAGAAAUUGGUAAAUAAAGCUAGGGUGAUGGCCCACAGAGUGGGAAGGUAAAAGAAUUCUCCUUAUUCAUUCAGAUUUCAAAAGUUGAUGUAGCAGGGUAUAAAUAGCUCCAUUUUUAUCUGUUGCUAAGGAUCUAGAAUUUUCAAAGAAAGCUAUAUGUUCCCACACACAAGUCUCUACAAAGUUAUGACAUUUCUCGAGAGAUGCAAAUAAAGAGAAACCUGGUACUACGGCCACAUCCUGUCCCUACUCUGUUGUUUUGACAUGUAUCAAUAUGAAUUUCCUAAGCUAGCAUUGAUGAUUAGCCAUUAUCAGGUUGUAAGGAUGUCUGUGAGAGGUAAACUGAUUUUUGCUUAGCCUUUCUAGCUAGGAUCAUCUGGGUCUUGCUGAUCACUGCAUCUUUCAAAAUGACAUUCAGAUACAGCAGGCUUCCUUUGCUUAUUGUUUGUUUUACUGGUCCCUUGUUGUCUCUGUUCUCACACCCUGUGGUUUAAAGUAAGUCUCAAAGUUUGAGGCCCAAACUCAGGUCUUAUUAAGAGGAGUGGCUUCUUCUUUGGACUGCUAUAGCAAACGCUCAGAAGGCAAUCCCUGCCACUGGCUCAACACUACAUCUUUCCAGAGCCUCCAUUUUUUUCCAUCUUAGGGAAUCAGAAGUGCAUCCAAGGGAAGCCAGGUACCAAGGAACUGGAAACUGAAGGGAAUUCCAGGUCACCAUAAAUAAUCAGAUAAGCAUUCUUUCUGGAGCUCCUCACCAUAACUUCUUACUGUUUCAAAAGCCCUGGAACCCACUGGAGGCCUGUGGGCUAUUUUUGGAUUCUGGGACAAUGUUGUAUCCAGUUGUCUUUGCUUUGAAUAUCUGGACACGUAAU